UCCGCUUCUCGGCCUUUUGGCUAAGAUCAAGUGAAGUAUCUGUUCUUAUCAGUUUCAUGCCGGUGGCCAGACACGCCGGAGUGGGGCUGAAGGGGAUGGGUGCUGCAUGGAGGGGGCAGGUGUAUUGGGGCAUUCCGGGGCUGGUGCCACAACACCAGCUCAUCAGCUGCCCUGAUGUGACCCGUU